rnacentral:rRNA from 1 species
CCUACGGGAGGCAGCAGUGAGGAAUAUUGGUCAAUGGACGCGAGUCUGAACCAGCCAAGUAGCGUGAAGGAUGACGGCCCUAUGGGUUGUAAACUUCUUUUAUAAAGGGAUAAACUGAGGCACGUGUGCCUUUUUGCAUGUACUGUAUGAAUAAGGAUCGGCUAACUCCGUGCCAGCAGCCGCGGUAAUACGGAGGAUCCGAGCGUUAUCCGGAUUUAUUGGGUUUAAAGGGAGCGUAGAUGGGUUGUUAAGUCAGUUGUGAAAGUUUGCGGCUCAACCGUAAAAUUGCAAUUGAUACUGGCAGUCUUGAGUACAGUUGAGGUAGGCGGAAUUCGUGGUGUAGCGGUGAAAUGCUUAGAUAUCACGAAGAACCCCGAUUGCGAAGGCAGCUUACUAAACUGUGACUGACAUUGAUGCUCGAAAGUGUGGGUAUCGAACAGGAUUAGAUACCCGUGUAGUC